GGCCAGGUCCCAUGCAGUGGGUGGAUCAGAUAACGGGUCAGGCGGGAGACCGAGCAGCCCACCUGAUCCAUUCAGGUGCCGUGGCCAACCUGGUCGUC
rnacentral:SRP_RNA from 1 species